GAAAAUCAUACCGUGGCCUGCUCUGUUUCCAGACAAGACAGGAGAGUGCUUUUCGGGGAAAAGACACUCCGAACGAGGUGAACAUUUGCUCCCUACGAGCCAAGGGGAGCCUUCGUUUAUAUUCGUAUAGGAACUCCCAAAAGUUCACCGGCUGCUACUUCUUUUCCUCUGAAACCAUUUUGGGCAGCAGCUACAUGUGUGGUCGGUCAAAACCCUGGUGGUGAUUCUGCUACACUACAUGGAUCUGAGCGCUAUUUGGACAACUUGGGCGCUUAGAUCCGGGCUAUCCAGGGAUAUAAUAUGUGUGGUGGUUCCUAUCAAUAUUAUGUGCAUUUUGGGGUGUUUUAUGUGUAUGUAUUGUACCUCGAGAGCCUGGGAGAUAAUUAGUUAAAGGAAAAGCAAACUCACUUAUCUCCUAAACCCAGAGACCUAUCUAUGUUUUUGCUGGAGACCCCAUGCUGAGGGUCUGUGUAUAUAAGCUGGCAACUUGGCCAUAAUAAAACAUUCCUUUUGCACCCUUCAUGAAGUCUCAUCUGAUGCUUGGGUAUGCGAUAUUGCCAUGAACCUUGUGGGAAUUUGGGAACCUUCAGAUGAACGUACCACUCUGGGUACAGGCGGUUCGUC